ACUCAAAGGAAUAGACGGGGGCCCGCACAAGCAGUGGAGUAUGUGGAUUAAUUCGACGCAACGCGAAGAACCUUACCAGGGCUUGACAUCCGACUAACGAGGCAGAGAUGCGUUAGGUGCCCUUCGGGGAAAGUCGAGACAGGUGGUGCAUGGUUGUCGUCAGCUCGUGUCGUGAGAUGUUGGGUUAAGUCCCGCAACGAGCGCAACCCUUACGGUUAGUUGCUACGAAAGAGCACUCUAGCCGGACUGCCGUUGACAAAACGGAGGAAGGGGGGGACGACGUCAAAUCAUCAUGCCCCUUACGUCCUGGGCUUCACACGUACUACAAUGGCGGACAUACAACGGGUAGCGACCACGCGAGUGGAAGCCAAUCCCUAAAAAGCCGCCUCAGUUCGGAUCGCAGGCUGAAACCCGCCUGCGUGAAGUCGGAAUUGCUAGUAAUCGCGGAUCAGCAUGCCGCGGUGAAUACGUUCCCGGGCCUUGCACACACCGCCCGU
rnacentral:rRNA from 1 species